UACAGAGGUCUCAAGCGUUGUUCGGAUUCAUUGGGCGUAAAGGGUGCGUAGGUGGCGCCGUAAGUCAGGUGUGAAAUUUCGGUGCUUAACUCCGAAACUGCAUUUGAUACUGCGGUGCUUGAGGACUGGAGAGGAGACUGGAAUUCACGGUGUAGCAGUGAAAUGCGUAGAUAUCGUGAGGAAGACCAGUGGCGAAGGCGGGUCUCUGGACAGUUCCUGACACUGAGGCACGAAGGCUAGGGGAGCAAACGGG
rnacentral:rRNA from 1 species